ACGAACGCUGGCGGCGUGCCUAAUCCAUGCCAGUCGCGCGAAGUUUUUCCGGUGCUUGCACCGGAAAAACUUAGCGGCGAACGGGUGAGUAACACGUAAAGAACCUGCCUCAUAGACUGGGACAACUAUUGGAAACGAUAGCUAAUACCGGAUAAUAGCAUUAACUGCAUGGUUGAUGUUUAAAAGUUGGUUUUGCUAACACUAUGAGAUGGCUUUGCGGUGCAUUAGCUAGUUGGUGGGGUAAAGGCCUACCAAGGCGACGAUGCAUAGCCGACCUGAGAGGGUGAUCGGCCACACUGGGACUGAGACACGGCCCAGACUCCUACGGGAGGCAGCAGUAGGGAAUCUUCCGCAAUGGGCGAAAGCCUGACGGAGCAACGCCGCGUGAGUGAAGAAGGAUUUCGGUUCGUAAAGCUCUGUUGUUAGGGAAGAAUGAUUGUGUAGUAACUAUACACAGUAGAGACGGUACCUAACCAGAAAGCCACGGCUAACUACGUG
rnacentral:rRNA from 1 species